AGUCGCGAACGGGUGAGUAACGCGUAGGUAACCUGCCUGAUAGCGGGGGAUAACUAUUGGAAACGAUAGCUAAUACCGCAUAAGAGUCGUUAACACAUGUUAAUGAUUUAAAAGGAGCAAUUGCUUCACUAUCAGAUGGACCUGCGUUGUAUUAGCUAGUUGGUGAGGUAACGGCUCACCAAGGCUUCGAUACAUAGCCGACCUGAGAGGGUGAUCGGCCACACUGGGACUGAGACACGGCCCAGACUCCUACGGGAGGCAGCAGUAGGGAAUCUUCGGCAAUGGACGAAAGUCUGACCGAGCAACGCCGCGUGAGUGAAGAAGGUUUUCGGAUCGUAAAGCUCUGUUAUAAGCGAAGAACGGGAGUAAGAGUGGAAAGUUUACUCUGUGACGGUAGCUUAUCAGAAAGGGACGGCUAACUACGUGCCAGCAGCCGCGGUAAUACGUAGGUCCCGAGCGUUGUCCGGAUUUAUUGGGCGUAAAGCGAGCGCA
rnacentral:rRNA from 1 species